UUUAAUCCAUUUAAUUUAAUUUGAUUUAUUUAAUAAAUAGAUUAAAUGAAUCGGAUCAGAUUAUCUGUUUAAUAAACAGAUCAGAUUUAUAUUUAAAUUUUUGAUCUGUUUAAUAAAUAGAUCGAAUUUAGAUUGAUAAUUUUUUGAUUCGAUCUAUAUUAAUCCGAUCUAUUAAUAAUUUGAUCCAACCCAUUUGCCGUCUCU
rnacentral:lncRNA from 1 species